AUAGCGUAUAUUAAAGUUGUUGAGGUUAAAAAGCUCGUAGUUGAACCUUGGGCCUAGCCGGCCGGUCCGCCUCACCGCGUGCACUGGCUCGGUUGGGCCUUUCCUUCUGGAGAACCCCAUGCCCUUCACUGGGUGUGGUGGGGAACCAGGACUUUUACUCUGAACAAAUUAGAUCGCUUAAAGAAGGCCUAUGCUCGAAUAUAUUAGCAUGGAAUAAUAGAAUAGGACGUGUGGUUCUUUUUUGUUGGUUUCUAGGACCGCCGUAAUGAUUAAUAGGGACAGUCGGGGGCAUCAGUAUUCAAUUGUCAGAGGUGAAAUUCUUGGAUUUAUUGAAGACUAACUACUG
rnacentral:rRNA from 1 species